AACGAACGCUGGCGGCAGGCCUAACACAUGCAAGUCGAGCGCGCCCUUCGGGGUGAGCGGCGGACGGGUGAGUAACGCGUGGGAACGUGCCCUUUUCUACGGAAUAGCCUCGGGAAACUGAGAGUAAUACCGUAUACGCCCUUUGGGGGAAAGAUUUAUCGGAAAAGGAUCGGCCCGCGUUGGAUUAGGUAGUUGGUGGGGUAAUGGCCUACCAAGCCGACGAUCCAUAGCUGGUUUGAGAGGAUGAUCAGCCACACUGGGACUGAGGCACGGCCCAGACUCCUACGGGAAGCAGCAGUGGGGAAUCUUAGACAAUGGGGGCAACCCUGAUCUAGCCAUGCCGCGUGAGUGAUGAAGGCCUUAGGGUUGUAAAGCUCUUUCAGCUGGGAAGAUAAUGACGGUACCAGCAGAAGAAGCCCCGGCUAACUCCGUG
rnacentral:rRNA from 1 species